UACGUAGGAGGCGAGCGUUGUCCGGAAUUACUGGGCGUAAAGCGCGCGUAGGUGGCGCAGCACGACAGGUGUGAAAGCCCCCGGCUCAACUGGGGAGGGUCAUUCGAUACUGAUCGACUCGAAGGCAGGAGAGGGUAGUGGAAUUCCCGGUGUAGUGGUGAAAUGCGCAGAUAUCAGGAAGAACACCCGUGGCGAAGGCGGCUCUCUGGGACGGUACUGACGCUGAGACGCGAAAGCGUGGGGAGCAAACAGG
rnacentral:rRNA from 1 species